GGCUCGGUGGUCUAGGGGGAUGAUUCUCGCUUAGGGUGCGAGAGGUCCCGGGUUCAAAUCCCGGCCGAGCCC
rfam:Stegodyphus mimosarum contig2266, whole genome shotgun sequence.